rnacentral:rRNA from 1 species
AUUGAACGCUGGCGGUAGGCUUAACACAUGCAAGUCGAGCGGGGUGAUGGUGCUUGCACUAUCACUUAGCGGCGGACGGGUGAGUAAUGCUUAGGAAUCUGCCUAUUAGUGGGGGACAACAUCUCGAAAGGGAUGCUAAUACCGCAUACGUCCUACGGGAGAAAGCAGGGGAUCACUUGUGACCUUGCGCUAAUAGAUGAGCCUAAGUCGGAUUAGCUAGGUGGUGGGGUAAAGGCCUACCAAGGCGACGAUCUGUAGCGGGUCUGAGAGGAUGAUCCGCCACGCUGGGACUGAGACACGGCCCAGACUCCUACGGGAGGCAGCAGUGGGGAAUAUUGAACAAUGGGGGGAACCCUGAUCCAGCCAUGCCGCGUGUGUGAAGAAGGCCUUAUGGUUGUAAAGCACUUUAAGCGAGGAGGAGGCUCUUUUGGUUAAUACCCAAGAUGAGUGGACGUUACUCGCAGAAUAAGCGCCGGCUAACUCUGUGCCAGCCGCCGCAGUAA